GCAGGGGUGUAGAGGUGAAGAAGAGCUCUGGGGAUAGGUCAAGUCAGCUGGGCUGUGCUACCACGGGCAGCAGCAGUCUGCAGGAGAGCCCUGAACAUCAGUCUACUGGAUGCUGUAGCCCAAGUGACAACAACGUAACUGCGGAGCAAAUGCUGGAGCAGUAGAAAUGCUAGAGCUUCUAAAAUCCGCUCAGUGAGCUGAUUAGUUACAAAUAUGAAGGAAGCAUCAGCUCAUUCAGUACAAGCAAUGGAGCCUAGGAAUUAACAGUGAAGACUGGACAUAGCUGGAGCAAAUGACUUAACCUCUCUCUGCCCGUUUCCCUCAUCUGAGAAAUGAGCCAAGGGUUAUUCUGUAACUAUGUGCUCAGGCAAGGAAGAUUUCCCACUUCUCCACUAACAACAGUCAGAAGCCAAAAGCUCCACUCAGGUGCUUGGCUACAUUUUGCCUUAAAGGACAGCUGAAGUGGUGCGGUUACCUCCACCCCAACAAGGACUAAGAAAGACGUCUGCCCAACACUAUGGAGCCGAUUUUACCACAGAGGUGAAAAUCCUAUCCCCUCCCACAAUGAGCAUUCUAUUUGGGGGAGGCAAAACCACAGUGCUCUGGUUUGAACAUUUGUGUCCCCUCCACAAUUCAUGCUGAAACUUAAUCCCCAACGCAACAGUAGAGAGGAGGUGCCUUUAGAAGGAGAUUAGCCUUAGAAAAGGGCCCUCGGCUCCCCCACCACGUGAGUGCUCAGCUGCUAGGCACCAACCUAGCAGCAGAAUCCAGGCCCACACCAGACACUGGCACCUAGUUUGGACUUCCCAGCCUUCAGAGCCGUGAG
rnacentral:lncRNA from 10 species